AAUCGCACGGCAUCUUCACGGGCGAUUGGAUCUGAGCUCUCAUCCCUGGUCCCCCGUGCUGACGGUGUCAUCACAGCGUGAACACAGCGAACCACACCGGAGUCAACGGCGCCCUCCUCCCUCUCCUCUGCGCCCGCCGAUGCGGGCCGCGUCUUCGUGUCCUCGGCCAUGCUGCGAGCGGCAGCGAUGCGGUUGGCGUCAGCGCCGACGGAGUUCCCGUCUUCUCCCCUGCAUCGCGAGCGUAGUGCCAGCCUGCCUACGUCGGGGUUGCUCGCCACAUGGCCGACCCGGAGGUGGAGACGCUGCGACCAGCUUCAUCACCAAGCUGCAUCCCUGAACCUCCAUAGCGAGCGCUAUUCAUGUAUAACCAUCUCUCUGGAAUUCUGGAGUGGCCCGCGGACGAGCAGGAGCAGCUGUCUCACGUCUCGAGCUUCUAUUGCGGACCAUCCGCAGAAGACGCAUAUAUAGAUCCAAUUGCCAGCGUAUAUCCUUUUUGCAAGUCAUGGGUAUCUGCAUGCGUCCCUCCCAAUUACAAUCAGAAUUUCUAUAAGACAUAGAGGUGAUGGCUCCAGAAAUCAGGCGAUUCAGACAAAGAUGUCGGUGACAGAUGGAGGCUUCCAACAUCUCGCCAAAACAAACUGCCGAGUGCCUACUGCCUAACGAAGUAAGUUGGGAAUCAAAUUUGUAAGAUGGUGAGUGGACGUAUUACCUUAUCUUUCAAAUUCUAAUGUGCGUAUUCAUUCCCUACACCUAUAAUUACUUGGCCUACCACUUGCAAGCUGAAUGUGCUUUCCAAUUCAAACCCAUGUGUGACAUAAUAACCAUAAAAAGUUCGAUUUGCUAAA